rnacentral:rRNA from 1 species
UACGAAGGGGGCUAGCGUUGUUCGGAUUUACUGGGCGUAAAGCGCACGUAGGCGGAUUGUUAAGUCGGGGGUGAAAUCCUGGAGCUCAACUCCAGAACUGCCUUCGAUACUGGCAAUCUAGAGUCCGGAAGAGGUGAGUGGAACUCCUAGUGUAGAGGUGGAAUUCGUAGAUAUUGGGAAGAACACCGGUGGCGAAGGCGGCGACCUGGUCCGUGACUGACGCUGAGGCGCGAAAGCGUGGGGAGCAAACAGG